rnacentral:rRNA from 1 species
AGUGGGGAAUCUUGCGCAAUGGGCGAAAGCCUGACGCAGCAACGCCGCGUGCGGGAUGACGGCCUUCGGGUUGUAAACCGCUUUCAGUGGGGACGAAAUCAGACGGUACCCACAGAAGAAGCCCCGGCCAACUACGUGCCAGCAGCCGCGGUAACACGUAGGGGGCGAGCGUUGUCCGGAAUCAUUGGGCGUAAAGAGCUCGUAGGCGGCUCAGUAAGUCGGGUGUGAAACCCCCAGGCUCAACCUGGGGACGCCACUCGAUACUGCUGUGGCUAGAGUCCAGUAGGGGAGUGUGGAAUUCCCGGUGUAGCGGUGAAAUGCGCAGAUAUCGGGAGGAACACCAGCGGCGAAGGCGGCACUCUGGGCUGGAACUGACGCUGAGGAGCGAAAGCGUGGGUAGCAAA